UCAAUCGCUAAGUUCUUCCUUCAUGACAACUCUGAGGGGGGUGUAUUUUUUUUUAACUCCCUGGUUGAAGCGAUAUAGAUGUUUGAAAUUCACGUGACGUCACAGGGACGAGCGGUACUUCCUGGUGCCUGCGGUUUCAGCUCAAUAGAGUGAGCAGCACACGCCUCAUCAUACUGUGCGCGGCUUCCACUCCCAUAUCGUAUGAGAAACACGGUUUGAAGUUCAGCUUGUUCUCCUGAGGGACACGUUAAAGACGUCUGCGCUGCUGUUUCUGUGGGUGUUCAGCCUGAGACACAACUUGAAUCCAACCAGUUUGAACAUUGACUCCAGGGACAGACGAGCCUGAAGGACACAGCUGUGACGACCAUGUUGUGUCUCUUAUGGCAAAGCAGAAAUAUUAAACACAGGGUUCUUUUCGAAAGUGUAUAAAAUCAGAAAGCAAAAAAUACACAUUGUUCUAAUAAAUGUUUAUUUUUUUAACCAACCAUAAUGAAGAUAGACAUUAACUCUUAUACAUGACACUUUGCAAUGACCACCACCACUAAACAGUUGCAGGUCAUAUUUAGUUAAGGGAGGAAUUUAGAAGUGUUGUGUAGAUGACGAUUCAGUCGUCCACGUGUUGACCAGCAUGACGCUGCAGAUCUCCACCAUGUUGCUGCUGAGGACAUCAGGUGCUGCAGUUUUUCAUCUAUGAAGACAAAAACAGCACUGUUAAAGAAUGUUUUGUGUUGUGUAUGAAGCACAACAGAUUUCAGAUAGAACCGUUGUACUGUGGUCUUGGUUUGUAUCGUCAUGGUUAAAUGUACAUAUUUGAAGUCACUUUAUUAUAAAAGUAGGGAAAGAAAUACAACAUUGUACAAAUAGAGAAAAUGUAUUUUUACCUCAUCUGUAAUAUUCAAGGUGAUAAUUUCCCACAGAGCUAUUGAUAACAGUCCACAUCAAGUCUCUCCACUUCCCUCAGUAUGAAAACAUAAUUAUACAAUUAAUUGAAGAACUGUGUUUACACUGGUUGUCACAUUAGUUAUUUGUGGGAUAUUAAAAUAUUAUCCCAAUAUAUGUACAAAAAUCAAACUAACCAUGUCAUUUGUCUAAAUGGUUGCAUUUAAUGGACAAGUACUUCAACAUUACAUAUGUAGUCUGCGAUUGAUAUGAAUUAGUUCAGUGGUGUUUCUACAUUUGGAACACCAGAUGUAGAUGGCGCUGUUGUGAAGAAAGUCCAAUACAUCUGUCCUUUGUGGAAAACUAUAUUUAUUGGAUUUUAUAUGCAAUAUAGCAUGAAUGUGUGUGUGAAUAAACUUGACUUACAAGCUUUA